AGACCCACUCCUAAGGAACUUUCGAUUCAGUUGCCUGUCUGAACAGUGACUACCAUGAACUCUACAUGCUGUCUACUUCUAACCCUCUUUGGCCUGACUCCAGCUUCAACACCUGGAAACAUGGCAAAAAGAACAGGGGGACAUUGGCUUGGACUGGAGCCACGUGUCAGAGUUUGACUCAAGGAUAGUUGAUGUAGAAUGAAGAGAAUGAGCAGGGAACAAGAGAAGGAAGUCAUCUCUGGAGAUAAAGAGAGUGAGCCCAAGCCACAGAAAGAAAAGGAGAAUGAAGACUGG
rnacentral:lncRNA from 1 species